UUAAGUGACUAAGCGUAUACGGUGGAUGCCUUGGCAGUUAGAGGCGAUGAAGGACGUGUAAGUCUGCGAAAAGCUGUGGUGAGCCGACAAAAUGCAUUUGAGCCACAGAUGUCCGAAUGGGGAAACCCACCUAUUUAUAGGUAUCGUUACAUGAAUAUAUAGUGUAACGAGGCGAACGAGGGGAACUGAAACAUCUAAGUACCCUUAGGAAAAGAAAUCAACCGAGAUUCCCCUAGUAGCGGCGAGCGAACGGGGAUUAGCCCUUAAGCAAUUAUGAACGUAGUGGAAGCCUCUGGGAAGUGGCGCGAUACAAGGUGAUAGCCCUGUACACGAAGUGUUUGUUUUUGUGAAAUCGAGUAGGUCGGGACACGUGUUAUCUUGACUGAAUAUGGGGGGACCAUCCUCCAAGGCUAAAUACUCCUAACUGACCGAUAGUGAACCAGUACCGUGAGGGAAAGGCGAAAAGAACCCCUGUGAGGGGAGUGAAAUAGAACCUGAAACCGUAUACGUACAAGCAGUGGGAGCAGACUUGUUCUGUGACUGCGUACCUUUUGUAUAAUGGGUCAGCGACUUAUAUUUAGUAGCAAGGUUAAGCGAAUAGCGGAGCCGUAGCGAAAGCGAGUGUUAACUGCGCGUUUAGUUGCUAGGUAUAGACCCGAAACCCGGUGAUCUAGCCAUGGGCAGGUUGAAGGUUGAGUAACAUCAACUGGAGGACCGAACCCACUAACGUUGAAAAGUUAGGGGAUGACUUGUGGCUGGGGGGGAAAGGCCAAUCAAACCGGGAGAUAGCUGGUUCUCCCCGAAAUCUAUUUAGGUAGAGCCUCGGACGAAUUCCAUUGGGGGUAGAGCACUGUUAAGGCUAGGGGGUCAUCCCGACUUACCAACCCUUUGCAAACUCCGAAUACCAAUGAGAACUAUCCGGGAGACACACGGCGGGUGCUAACGUCCGUCGUGAAGAGGGAAACAACCCAGACCGCCAGCUAAGGUCCCAAAAUAUUGCUAAGUGGGAAACGAUGUGGGAAGGCAUAGACAGCUAGGAGGUUGGCUUAGAAGCAGCCACCCUUUAAAGAAAGCGUAAUAGCUCACUAGUCGAGUCGGCCUGCGCGGAAGAUGUAACGGGGCUAAGCAAUAUACCGAAGCUGCGGAUACGUGUUUACACGUAUGGUAGGGGAGCGUUGUGUAAGUGGAUGAAGGUGGAUUGAGAAGUCUGCUGGACAUAUCACAAGUGCGAAUGCUGACAUGAGUAACGAUAAUGGGAGUGAAAAACUCCCACGCCGGAAGACCAAGGUUUCCUGUCCCAUGCUAAUCAGGGCAGGGUAAGUCGGCCCCUAAGGCGAGGCAGAAAUGCGUAGUCGAUGGGAAACGGAUUAAUAUUUCCGUACUUAUAUAAUCAGUGAUGGAGGGACGGAGAAGGCUAAGCAAGCUUGGCGUUGGUUGUCCAAGUGAAAGCAAGUAGGCCGAGUGUUUAGGUAAAUCCGGACGCUUAAAGCUGAGAUGCGAGACGAGCUACUACGGUAGUGAAGUUGUUGAUGCCCUGCUUCCAGGAAAAGCUUCUAAACUUAUGAUUAUAUAAACCGUACCCCAAACCGACACAGGUGGUCAGGUAGAGAAUACUAAGGCGCUUGAGAGAACUCGGGUGAAGGAACUCGGCAAAAUUGUACCGUAACUUCGGGAGAAGGUACGCCCUUGUUUGUGAUAGGACUUGCUCCUUGAGCAGAUGAGGGCCGCAGUGACCAGGUGGCUGGGACUGUUUAUUAAAAACACAGCACUCUGCUAACUCGCAAGAGGACGUAUAGGGUGUGACACCUGCCCGGUGCCGGAAGGUUAAUUGAUGGGGUUAUCUUCGGAGAAGCUCUUGAUCGAAGCCCCGGUAAACGGCGGCCGUAACUAUAACGGUCCUAAGGUAGCGAAAUUCCUUGUCGGGUAAGUUCCGACCUGCACGAAUGGUGUAACCAUGGCCACGCUGUCUCCACCCGAGACUCAGUGAAAUUGAAAUCGCAGUGAAGAUGCUGUGUACCCGCACCUAGACGGAAAGACCCCGUGAACCUUUACUACAGCUUGGCACUGAACAUUGAACCUACAUGUGUAGGAUAGGUGGGAGGCUUCGAAGCACAGUCGCUAGAUUGUGUGGAGCCGUCCUUGAAAUACCACCCUUGUAUGUUUGAUGUUCUAACAUUGGUCCCUUAUCGGGAUUAUGGACAGUGUCUGGUGGGUAGUUUGACUGGGGCGGUCUCCUCCCAAAUAGUAACGGAGGAGCACGAAGGUUAGCUAAUCACGGUCGGACAUCGUGAGGUUAGUGCAAUGGCAUAAGCUAGCUUAACUGCGAGACAGACACGUCGAGCAGGUACGAAAGUAGGUCAUAGUGAUCCGGUGGUUCUGUAUGGAAGGGCCAUCGCUCAACGGAUAAAAGGUACUCCGGGGAUAACAGGCUGAUACCGCCCAAGAGUUCAUAUCGACGGCGGUGUUUGGCACCUCGAUGUCGGCUCAUCACAUCCUGGGGCUGAAGUCGGUCCCAAGGGUAUGGCUGUUCGCCAUUUAAAGUGGUACGCGAGCUGGGUUUAGAACGUCGUGAGACAGUUCGGUCCCUAUCUGGUGUGGGCGUUGGAUGAUUGAUGGGAGCUGCUCCUAGUACGAGAGGACCGGAGUGGACGAACCGCUGGUGUUCGGGUUGUCAUGCCAAUGGCAUUGCCCGGUAGCUACGUUCGGAACGGAUAACCGCUGAAAGCAUCUAAGCGGGAAGCCGGCCCAAAGAUGAGUCAUCCCUGACUUUUAAAGUCCGGAAGGGUUGUUAUAGACGAUGACGUUGAUAGGCAGGAUGUGGAAGCGUUGUAAGGCGUUAAGCUAACCUGUACUAAUUGCCCGAGAGGCUUAACCAU
rnacentral:rRNA from 1 species